ACAGCAGCAUUCGUCCAUUUUUCUGGACUGCCAUGUUAGUUUGUCGAUAACUAUUAAUAUCCAGUAGCGCUGUCGUAGUCUCCUUCAGAGAGACUUAGAAAUAUUAAUAUGCAUAUAUAUAUAUAUAUAUAAAUAUGUAAUGGAAAA